rnacentral:rRNA from 1 species
GACGAACGCUGGCGGCGUGCUUAACACAUGCAAGUCGAACGGAAAGGCCCUGCUUUUGUGGGGUGCUCGGGUGGCGAACGGGUGAGUAACACGUGAGUAACCUGCCCUUGACUUUGGGAUAACUUCAGGAAACUGGGGCUAAUACCGGAUAGGAGCUCCUGAUGCAUGGUGGGGGUUGGAAAGUUUCGGCGGUUGGGGAUGGACUCGCGGCUUAUCAGCUUGUUGGUGGGGUAGUGGCUUACCAAGGCUUUGACGGGUAGCAGGCCUGAGAGGGUGACCGGCCACAUUGGGACUGAGAUACGGCCCAGACUCCUACGUGAGGCAGCAGUCGGAAAUAUUGCACAAUGGGCGGAAGCCUGAUGCAGCAACGCCGCGUGCGGGAUGACGGCCUUCGGGUUGUAAACCGCUUUCGCCUGUGACGAAGCGUGAGUGACGGUAAUGGGUAAAGAAGCACCGGCUAACUACGUG